rnacentral:rRNA from 1 species
AUUGAACGCUGGCGGCAUGCUUUACACAUGCAAGUCGAACGGUAACAGGCCGCAAGGUGCUGACGAGUGGCGAACGGGUGAGUAAUGCAUCGGAACGUGCCCAGUCGUGGGGGAUAACUACUCGAAAGAGUAGCUAAUACCGCAUACGAUCUGUGGAUGAAAGCGGGGGACCGUAAGGCCUCGCGCGAUUGGAGCGGCCGAUGUCAGAUUAGGUAGUUGGUGGGGUAAAGGCUCACCAAGCCAACGAUCUGUAGCUGGUCUGAGAGGACAACCAGCCACACUGGGACUGAGACACGGCCCAGACUCCUACGGGAGGCAGCAGUGGGGAAUGUUGGACAAUGGGCGCAAGCCUGAUGCAGCAAGGCCGCGUGCAGGAAGAAGGCCUUCGGGUUGUAAACUGCUUGUGUACGGAAAGAAACGGCUCUGGUUAAUACCCGGCGCUAAUGACGGUACCGUAAGAAGAAGCACCGGCUAACUACGUG